GGUUCCGUGGCCGAGCGGCGAGGCACUUGUUUGCAAAACUUGUUACAACAGUUCAAGUCUGUUCGGAACCU
rnacentral:tRNA from 1 species